rnacentral:rRNA from 1 species
GGAUGAACGCUAGCUACAGGCUUAACCCAUGCAAGUCGCGGGGCAGCAUGGGGGUUGCUUGCAAUCCCUGAUGGCGACCGGCGCACGGGUGAGUAACGCGUAUCCAACCUGCCCUUCACCACGGGAUAACCCGGCGAAAGUCGGACUAAUACCGUAUGUUGUCCAUUGACGGCCUCCGAUUUGGACGAAAGGCUUAGCGGGGAGGGAUGGGGAUGCGUCCGAUUAGCUUGACGGCGGGGUAACGGCCCACCGUGGCUACGAUCGGUAGGGGUUCUGAGAGGAAGGUCCCCCAGACUGGAACUGAGACACGGUCCAGACUCGUACGGGAGGCAGCAGUGAGGAAUAGUGGUCAAUGGGCGUAAGCCUGAACCAGCCAAGUAGCGUGCAGGAGGACGGCCCUAUGGGUUGUAAACUGCUUUUAUGCGGGGAUAAAGGGACCCACGUGUGGGUUUUUGCAGGUACCGCAUGAAUAAGGACCGGCUAAUUCCGUG